UACGGAGGGUGCAAACGUUGCUCGGAAUCAUUGGGCGUAAAGCGCACGUAGGCGGACUGUUAAGUCGGAUGUGAAAUCCCUCAGCUUAACUGAGGAAGUGCACUCGAAACUGGCAGUCUUGAAUAUGGAAGAGGGUCGCGGAAUUCCCGGUGUAGCGGUGGAAUGCGUAGAGAUCGGGAAGAACAUCGGUGGCGAAGGCGGUCUGCUGGGCCGUUGCUGACGCUGAGGCGCGACAGCGUGGGGAGCAAACAGG
rnacentral:rRNA from 1 species